rnacentral:rRNA from 1 species
GAUGAACGCUGGCGGCGUGCCUAAUACAUGCAAGUCGAACGAGGUGCUUGAGUAGCAAUACAAGAGUAUCCUAGUGGCGAACGGGUGAGUAACGCGUGGGUGACCUGCCCCGAAGUGUGGGAUAACAGUCCGAAAGGAUUGCUAAUACCUCAUGUGGUUAUCGGAUUUAGAAACUGAUAACUAAAGCAGCAAUGCGCUUUGGGAGGGACCUGCGUCCCAUCAGCUAGUUGGUGAGGUAAUGGCUCACCAAGGCUACGACGGGUAGGGGACCUGAGAGGGUGGCCCCCCACAAUGGAACGUGAAACAACGGUCCAUACACCUACGGGUGGCAGCAGUAGGGAAUAUUGCACAAUGGGCGGAAAGACCUGAUGCAGCAACGCCGCGUGUGCGAUGAA